rnacentral:misc_RNA from 1 species
UCAAACUUGGUCAUUUAGAGGAAGUAAAAGUCGUAACAAGGUUUCCGUAGGUGAACCUGCGGAAGGAUCAUUCAAAAUAAAAGUGAAAUCUAUAUGGCACUUUUAAAAAAAUCCAUAUUCACCUUGUGUGCAAUGUAAUGAGAGGGAAGAUUGUCUCAUUUUUUGAGUGAUCUUCUCUUUUAUAUCAUAUCAACUCUUUGCUUUGAAACCUGUUUGUCUGAAAUAAAAAUAUUCUUUGAAUAACUUAAUUCAAAAAUACAACUUUCAACAACGGAUCUCUUGGCUCUCGCAUCAAUGAAGAACGCAGC